rnacentral:rRNA from 1 species
GACGAACGCUGGCGGCGUGCCUAAUACAUGCAAGUUGAGCGCUGAAGGUUGGUACUUGUACCAACUGGAUGAGCAGCGAACGGGUGAGUAACGCGUGGGGAAUCUGCCUUUGAGCGGGGGACAACAUUUGGAAACGAAUGCUAAUACCGCAUAAAAACUUUAAACACAAGUUUUAAGUUUGAAAGAUGCAAUUGCAUCACUCAAAGAUGAUCCCGCGUUGUAUUAGCUAGUUGGUGAGGUAAAGGCUGACCAAGGCGAUGAUACAUAGCCGACCUGAGAGGGGGAUCGGCCACAUUGGGACCGGGACACGGCCCAAACCUCUACGGGAGGGAGCAGUAGGGAAACUUCGGCAAUGGAGGAAAGGCUGAACGAGGAAAGCCGGGGGAGGGAAGGAGGGUUUCGGAUCGGAAAACUCGGUUGGUAGAGAAGAAAGUUGGUGGGAGUGGAAAGCUCAUCAAGUGACGGUAACUACACAGAAAGAGACGGCUAACUACGUG